rnacentral:rRNA from 1 species
UACGUAGGGUGCGAGCGUUGUCCGGAAUUACUGGGCGUAAAGAGCGCGCAGGCGGUCGUUCAAGUCGAGUGUGAAAGCCCCCGGCUCAACUGGGGAGGGUCAUUCGAUACUGAUCGACUCGAAGGCAGGAGAGGGUAGUGGAAUUCCCGGUGUAGUGGUGAAAUGCGUAGAUAUCGGGAGGAACACCAGUGGCGAAGGCGACUACCUGGCCUGUUCUUGACGCUGAGGCGCGAAAGCUAGGGGAGCAAACGGG